CUCAGCUUGAAUUUUCAUUUUUAACAAAACUGUUUUAUACGUACGAAGAAAAAAAGGAAAAGAAAUUUAUUUCUGAAGGUUAUUCGAUGAUAUAGAAACCAUUUCGUUCGAUAACCUUUAUCGACUCGUUUGCUCGUAAUCGUUUUUCAUUCAUUGGCUUGCCAUUCUAUUCUCGUAGAAUUAAACAGCCAAUAAGGAGUUCCCCGUGAACGUGGAUCUAUUGCGAAUGUAACCUUACGUUCGUAUUUUGCUCCUCUCUUGUUUUAUAGUUUAAUUCGAAUGAUAGCUGCAGAUGGCGCCACAUGCUUUGGCUACGUUUACGUCGUACGUCGCUACAUCUAUCGGCAACACGGUAAACCAAUGUACGAGCUGUCCGACGCACAGUAUUCAGCAUCGUCUUCAUAGGACGGCACGUCGCGCGAUAUCUUUCGCGUACGUGCGAAUAUUUUUCAGCGAAGGAAAAUAAGAAAAGAAGGAAGGAAGGAAGGAAGGAAGGAAGGAAGGAAGGAAGGAAGAAAGGAAGAAGGAAAGAGAAGAAAAGUAAAGUAAAGAAAAGGAAAGAAUAAAAAGGGGAGACAGAAGGACUAACAAAACGAACUAACGAAGAGGAAGAAUAAGAAGAAAUAGAAAGAGAGAGAGAGAGAAAGACAGAGAGAGAGAGAGAGAGAGAGAGAGAGAGAGAGAGAGAGAGACAGGUCGCCAUCUUUACGGAAGCAUUUAUCCUCGAACCAACAAUUCACUUGUCGUGGAUAAUAUUACGGAAUAAUAUCGGCUCUAUCUCUUUUCGUCCUUCUGUCUGUCCGUCCGUCCGUCUGUCUGUCUGUCUGUCCGUUCGUCCGACAAUCGUGCGUUCGAAUAAUUUGGAGUGAUCGAUCGGUCGCGUGUAACACGGUGAACGCACAUUCGAGCUUUCGUUUGGAGUUUCGUAUAAAAGGAAAGGAAGGAAGAGACUUGGACACAACACAGGUUUAUCCGAUUGGCGAAAUUGAAAACCGAAGGUUUCGUUAAAUCGAUCGCGUGUGUUACACUCUUCGGUGAGCGAGCAAGUAAGUAAGUGAGUGAGUGAUUGAGUGAGAGUGAGCGAGCACGAGCAAGUGUGGCAAAGUGGUAUUGUAGCUACUAUUACUACUACUACUACUACUACUACUACUAUUACCUAUUACUACUCUUACUGUAAUUCGAAAGAGAGACCGGAAAAGAGAAAGCAAUAUACGAUAAACGUAUACAUGCAGUUUGUUGCCAGCGCGAACGCUUUUUGGCGUUCGAUUGGAUCAUUAAAUAUUUUUGGAAGAGAGGUAUAGAGAGAGAGAGAGAGAGAGAGAGAGAGAGAGAAAGAAAGAAAGAGGACAAGUUAAAUGGCUAUGUAAGUCGUGAGAAGAAGAGUUGACCCGACACUACAAAACUGAUCCUUGUCGACACUGCGAUAUUCUAAUUCACCUUCAUUCUAGCGAAUGAGUUUGGAAAGUACUUUAACGGAAGAAGUACGUCAUCUGCAUAUAUACAUAAUACAUUUAUACAUACAUACAUACGUACAUAUACACAUCAUACACACACACAUGCAUGCAUGUUUAUCUCUUUCUCUCUCUCUUUCUCUCUUUCUGUCUUUCUUGUUUCGUACGCGUGCAAGUUAUGGUUACUUUAGCUACAAGUUUUAUUUUGUUCGAACCGCAAAUCUCCAAUAUCUCUCUCUCUCUCUCUCUCUCUCUCUUUUUUUGCGUUUAUUACAGCGAAUUCUGCUUUGAUUAUGUCAUUUAAAUAAUUACAUUAAAUACUUUUCUUUCUUUCUUUAUUUAUUUUCUUUCUUUUUUUGCUUCUUCUUCUUCUUCUUGUACUUUACGUAAGAUUAUUGUUAUAUAAAAAAAAUUUAUUUCCCAUCGAUGUUUCGAAUGCAAUGAAUACUCCCUUUCUCUCCUCCCCCCCUCCAUAUUUUUCUCUCUCUCUCUCUCUCUCUCUUUCGCUCGUUCGCUCACUCUCACUCGUUUUGUUUCUUCGUUAAAAUGUCAUUCCCGCGGUAAGGAGGUCACUUGGUUAAUUUUAGAAACGUAACUCCUACAGAAUCUCAUAAACGUAAAGAGAAUGUUAAGGCCUUUUUAACUCUCUCGUUUGAUUCAGGGUCGUUCUGUUUCGACGCGUUGGAUAAAGAAAAGAUGGUUGAGAUAUCCUCCUCGUGAUAAUAGAACGAAUAGAACGAGAGUUAAGUUACGUCAAAGGUGUCUACGUAACGAAUUCAAUUAGAUCUUUUUUUU